rnacentral:rRNA from 1 species
AUACGUAGGGGGCAAGCGUUGUCCGGAAUUACUGGGCGUAAAGGGUGCGUAGGCGGCAUUACAAGUCUAAUGUGAAAUCCCCGUGCUUAACAUGGGGUUUGCAAUAGAAACUGUAAAGCUAGAGUGCAGGAGAGGUAAGUGGAAUUCCUAGUGUAGCGGUGAAAUGCAUAGAUAUUAGGAGGAACACCAGUGGCGAAGGCGACUUACUGGUCCAUUACUGACGCUGAGGUGCGAAAGCGUGGGGAGC